UUCACUAUCAUGUAGUUAACAUAUUUUUUUCAACCACAAGCAAAUAGCAAGGAUAUAAUCCAUUGCUAAUCGAUAUUGGCUAAGGACCUUUCAACAAUGCGUAUGGGUGUCGUUGAUUGAUAUUUUUAGAUUAUGCUAAAUUAAAUCAAAUUACCAGAGAAAAAUGUUUCAAAACAAAAUAAACGUCAAUAUUUUAAAAUAGAAAGAGAAUAAACCUAGUCAACCAGCAUUUUCGGAUUAUCCAACAAAAAUCUACAACUAAUUAUAUAUAUAUAUAUGUUCACAUAUGAUUUUGUAUCAUAGGACAACAAAUCGUUUAUUUGGAAAAGAAGAACUACAAUGUCGUCAAUAAAAUUAGCUAUAUUUUGCAUUAUCCUCCUUUCUUUCGUUAGUCUUCAUGAUUGUAUGUCUAAAGGUUUCGCAAUAAAUUUCAUGCCGUGCAAAAAAGGAGUUGCUGGUGACUGGUGCUGCACUAAAGGAGGGUUAAUAUGCGUAAAGGACCAUGCAGAAUGUGCGCAAAGCUGCAUUUAACAGGCUAAACCUUAAUAAACCAAAUUGUAAUUUUCUUUAAAAAAUAAUUUUUAAUAAAGACAAUCUUGCCCUUACUAGCAAGAUGGAGUAUAUAAACCUAUAAACCAAAUCCAUAGAUAAUUUUUUUUUUUUGGUAAAAUGUUAAAUACAUCCAUAGAUAAUUUGGUUAUUUUAAGUGUAUAUGUGUAAUUUUUUUAUAUAUUAUUGUGCAAAUGUGAUAUUUUCUUAUCACUUAUCAAAUUUAUGUUUGUACACGCAUUAACGUUUAUGUAUAUUUAUAUAUUUUCUUACGUAUGCUUUCAUGCUAUGAAUCCUUUUUAUAGGAUCGUUAAAAGAUACUUAGGAUUAUUUUCACCAUGCAAUAGAUUUCUACCCGGGGCAGGUUUAGACGUCACCUGAGACAUCAGACAUAAUGCAACAUAAUUCUUAAAACUUUAAUAGCAGAAAAAGGGAAGCCCGACUUUUCCUCUCUCUCUCUUUUUCUCCCAGAACUAAACCUUCGAACUCUGAUUGCAGACGGUGGUCGGCGGAUCCGCCGCCGGCCUCCCAUGUGUUUUUCCUUUAUUCUUCGCUUCUCAUCUUCUUUCUCUCUCUCUGUUGAUAUGCUCGCAUCCCUGCUACUGACUUUCUCCUUGCGCCGCUGUUAGUGUUAGGAGUUCUUGUAGUUAGUUUGGUGGUGAUUCGGCGAGGCAGAGGUAGGGGUCGAAGGCGUUUGGCUCGGCUGCGGGAGAUCUUCUCUUUCCGACUCAGAUCUGGAGUUUUUUCUCAGAUCUGGCCUCGAGCAGGGGGUAACGAGGUACGUGAGGACUGUAUCUAUAAGUUGUCCCUGCGUUGGCCAGUCUGGUUAGUUCUCUGGUGUAGCUUGAGCGGUUUAGUGGAUUCUCGGGGUGUGUUGGUGCGGAGACUAUCGUUGGUCAGCCGGAUGUUGGAGCUUGGCUGGGGAAGUGGCGUUUUGUUCCUUCGUUCAACCUCCGUUCCGGAUCUGGACUAUGAAGCAUUGGUUUGAGAGCGGGCGUUUGGGUUUUACUGUCUCUUAUUACUCUAUGCUGACUGUGUACAAAGAGGAGAUCUGCAGUGUUGCAGUGGUGUGUGUGGCUAUCUAGGCGCGUGCGGGUAGCUAGUGGCGUCACACUUGCUUCUCUGUUCGUGAGGAAGUGCUCUGCGCAGUGGCAUUAAUCACGGGUAUGAAGCUUCUUCUUCUUUGGGCAAGUCCGAUGGUGUGGCAAACUCAACCUUUCACGCCCCUUCCGAAUAAGAGCAGUGACUUGUAGAUGUGCUAGACUUGUUCACAUCAAGAAGAAGCGUAACAGUCAAUCUGCGUUUAGUGUGAGCAGCAGCUCUGUUUUUUUGCGGUGGUACUCAACAGAUGAGUGAAUGUUUCAUGCGGUAGCACAGAUUAGCUAACUGUGCGGCAAAGGUUUUGGCUAGAUCGGUGGGGCAGAGGCAUACAACUUCACCUUUUUCCGGACCUCCGGUUUCGACCGGGCCGGGACGUUCACUCCGAAUGCAUCUGUUUGAGCCGUCGUAGGAUAUGGUAGUUGUGUGUGCUAAUUUAGCAGGUUAUCAAAGGCGUGUUCGUUACGAAGCUGUAGGAGCGGAGUGGUUAUGAGGGCUGGCCAAUUCUCUGUAAACUCGCGGCAACUUAGCAACCACAACAAUGAGACUCCUGCUGUUGGUUCAUGGCGAUCCUAGACAAUGUGCGUUGUUCUGUUAUUCAGGAUUUGUAUUAGUUGUGGUAUUUCUGCAUUUCAGUGUGUUUUUCUUUUGUAUUUUGGUGUUGUUUAGUUGUUUUUCUUUCUCCGCUACUAGUUAUCUUUGUAAUCUCUGUCUAAAAUUUAAAAUGGUAUAAAAUUUAACAUUCAUACCAAAAAAAAAAAACUUUAAUA